AAAUCAACAGCCUUUCCGAUUCUAGAAAGGGACGUCACAUUUAUAAAUCUUAUAUUAUUAUUUUUUUUUCGCUUAAUAUAAUUCAAUGUUAAUGUUCUUAAACCGGAAAAAUAUAGGAUUUUAUUUUUAAUGGUGCUUUACUGUAUUUAUUAAGUAAUUUACUUUUUAAAACUUUAAACUGCGUUUUUAUGCACUUAAAUACAUAUUGGCAUAUACAUGCAAUCAAAAUCUUGAGCAUCUUACAAAGUUUGUGUUCUGAUUAAACCCGACUACCGUGCCAACUACCAUAAGCACAUUAUUGGUUUCCUGUUGCAUUGCAAAUUAAGAUUAAAUAAACUCCAAAUAUAUUCACCUACACUCCAGUGUUGGUCUCUGC